rfam:Volvox carteri f. nagariensis unplaced genomic scaffold VOLCAscaffold_1, whole genome shotgun sequence.
GCGAGGUUGCCCGAGUGGUCGAAGGGGUGAGCCUUAAGAUCUCAUGGUCGCAAGACUGCGUGGGUUCGAUCCCCACACCUCGCA